GUAGAUAUGCGGUAGCACAGAGAGCUUGCUCUUGGGUGACGAGCGGCGGACGGGUGAGUAAUGUCGUGGGAAACUGCCUGAUGGAGGGGGAUAACUACUGGAAACGGUAGCUAAUACCGCAUAACGUCGCAAGACCAAAGUGGGGGACCUUCGGGCCUCAUGCCAUCAGAUGUGCCCAGAUGGGAUUAGCUGGUAGGUGGGGUAACGGCUCACCUAGGCGACGAUCCCUAGCUGGUCUGAGAGGAUGACCAGCCACACUGGAACUGAGACACGGUCCAGACUCCUACGGGAGGCAGCAGUGGGGAAUAUUGCACAAUGGGCGCAAGCCUGAUGCAGCCAUGCCGCGUGUGUGAAGAAGGCCUUCGGGUUGUAAAGCACUUUCAGCGGGGAGGAAGGCGGUGAGGUUAAUAACCUCAUCGAUUGACGUUACCCGCAGAAGAAGCACCGGCUAACUCCGUGCCAGCAGCCGCGGUAAUACGGAGGGUGCAAGCGUUAAUCGGAAUUACUGGGCGUAAAGCGCACGCAGGCGGUCUGUCAAGUCGGAUGUGAAAUCCCCGGGCUCAACCUGGGAACUGCAUUCGAAACUGGCAGGCUAGAGUCUUGUAGAGGGGGGUAGAAUUCCAGGUGUAGCGGUGAAAUGCGUAGAGAUCUGGAGGAAUACCGGUGGCGAAGGCGGCCCCCUGGACAAAGACUGACGCUCAGGUGCGAAAGCGUGGGGAGCAAACAGGAUUAGAUACCCUGGUAGUCCACGCUGUAAACGAUGUCGAUUUGGAGGUUGUGCCCUUGAGGCGUGGCUUCCGGAGCUAACGCGUUAAAUCGACCGCCUGGGGAGUACGGCCGCAAGGUUAAAACUCAAAUGAAUUGACGGGGGCCCGCACAAGCGGUGGAGCAUGUGGUUUAAUUCGAUGCAACGCGAAGAACCUUACCUGGUCUUGACAUCCACAGAACUUUCCAGAGAUGGAUUGGUGCCUUCGGGAACUGUGAGACAGGUGCUGCAUGGCUGUCGUCAGCUCGUGUUGUGAAAUGUUGGGUUAAGUCCCGCAACGAGCGCAACCCUUAUCCUUUGUUGCCAGCGGUUAGGCCGGGAACUCAAAGGAGACUGCCAGUGAUAAACUGGAGGAAGGUGGGGAUGACGUCAAGUCAUCAUGGCCCUUACGACCAGGGCUACACACGUGCUACAAUGGCAUAUACAAAGAGAAGCGACCUCGCGAGAGCAAGCGGACCUCAUAAAGUAUGUCGUAGUCCGGAUUGGAGUCUGCAACUCGACUCCAUGAAGUCGGAAUCGCUAGUAAUCGUAGAUCAGAAUGCUACGGUGAAUACGUUCCCGGGCCUUGUACACACCGCCCGUCACACCAUGGGAGUGGGUUGCAAAAGAAGUAGGUAGCUUAUUCACCUUCGGGAGG
rnacentral:rRNA from 1 species